GAGCCAGGCCGGCGGGAGGGCCCUGGGCGGUGGCUGCGGGGGCGGGCGGCCAGGCCCGGCGCGGAGUCUCCGUGCCUUAUAAGGGCUGCAAGUCAGCCCAGCCAUCUGGAAUGUAGCGGGGACUAGGGGGCGGUGCUAGGACCUCCGCCCCGCGCCGGCCUCCGAGAGCGCCCCACCACUUGUGGAUUCCGGGGAAGGUAGUGGUGGGGGCGUGGAUUCCAGACCCCAGGGCCUAGGAGGGGAGGCCUGAAGCCUGAAUUUCUGGGGCCUUCAAAAUCCUAGGACACCAGCUUCCCAGCUUCGUCCUCGCCUUCGGGAGCACGGUGCUGGACCGCAGCCCACCGCCUGUUUGGCCCAAAGUUCGAAUUCUGUCUCCGGAAUGGAGGGGGCAGCACCCCCCACGCGGAGGAUGUUGACUCCAACCUGGCGCUGGAUUCCAGCCUCCAACAGGCUGCACCUCUGUUCUGUGAAGCUGGCUGCUUUGGGGUACAGGGACCCGCCUCCCGACUUCCUAAUAAACAGAGUUCCUUGAUCAGAAGCAA